CAGAUCCACUGUCAUCUGGCAGUUGAUUCAGGUUCUGGUCAUUGGGUAAAAGUCUUGCCUUCCUCUUAUGUUGGAGCUUCCGGUUUCCAUAAAGCCUCAGCCUCAGGCAGGGAUGCAUCAUUUUUCAGCCACCUCCUAAUUCACUGCCUGGAGGACACCAGAGUUUGUCUAACUCCUACGCAAACUUCAGACACCAGAUGAUGGGCUUUUCCAAGCAGUCCUCCAACUUUCUUGACACCAGCAAGCUGUCCUACAGUUUAAAUCAAGC
rnacentral:lncRNA from 1 species